rnacentral:rRNA from 1 species
GAUGAACGCUAGCGGCAGGCUUAACACAUGCAAGUCGAGGGGUAACAGAGUAGCUUGCUACUGCUGACGACCGGCGCACGGGUGCGUAACGCGUAUACAAUUUGCCUCAUACUGGAAGAUAGCCCUAAGAAAUUGGGAUUAAUAUUCCAUAAUACUAUUGAAUCGCAUGGUUUGAUAGUUAAAGCUCCGGUGGUAUGAGAUGAGUAUGCGUCCUAUUAGUUAGUUAGUGAGGUAACGGCUCACCAAGACUACGGUAGGUAGGGGGCCUGAGAGGGUUAUCCCCCACACUGGUACUGAGACACGGACCAGACUCCUACGGGAGGCAGCAGUGAGGAAUAUUGGACAAUGGAGGCAACUCUGAUCCAGCCAUGCCGCGUGAGUGAAGAAGGCCUU